GACACUAACUUGACUUGGACACCAUCAAAGUUUUUGAAGGGCUGCAUUUUUUUUACAGAUUCUUACUUGACUGCAGUCAUGGCUAACCUCAAGGAAACUCACCUUCCUCCUAACAUCUUACUUUUGAUGAUCAGGCUUAUUGGAAGGAUUUACAGCUUGACAAUCAAGCUAUCUGCCACGUUAUAAUAUUGUGACCGUGGAAGCAGAAGGAAAUCAACUCCCCACUUUUGAAACUCCUCAGAUUCUGACAGACCUGCUGACUUUCUCCGACAAGUUCUGGUUUUGCUUCAAAUCUCCUGCAUCUGCAUUGUUUUCCUACCGUGGAGUUUUUAUUUGGUCAGAACAAAACAGAACUGGAAUCUCAUCCAACAAGCAGAACAAUCUGAUUUUUUUUAAUGUCUUUGUGGGCAUCAUUGCGUGUUCCUAGUUGCCCUUGAGAAGGUAGUGUCAGAGCAUGUAACAAGAACACAAGGAAGAUGAAGGAAAUAAUUGCAGCAAAUAAAGACCAAGGUUGACCAGAUCAACUAUCGAAGUGAAGAGUGACCAUCACGUUACAGAGAACAGUGUGUCAGCAUUGCUAAAAUCAAAAUGAACUGAGACACAUUUGUGAUCUAGACUUCUAAUCUUUAGACUUUAUUUUCAGAUCUAUAUUUCUCCCGCGCCGAAUAUUUGCGUCAAAACACUUGCCUUUUGUCUGUGUUAAUGCUAACUGUGUGUGCAUGCAUGUGUGUGUGUAUGCAUACAUAUAUUUGGAGUUUCUAAAAACAUAGACAUUAAAUCUCAGAGUAGAUUAGGAAUUCUCUCACCAUUGCCAUUUGGCAAAGAAUAAUUGUGUUAUAAUAAAUACAGUUACUUCUGAUAAUGACAAAAAACAGUGUGAAUUGUCUUUGCCCUGUUAGGUAGUCAUAAGACCAUAAGUUAGUAGGACCAGAAUUAGGCCAUUUGGGCCUUCAAGUCUAUUCCAACAUUCAAUGGUGAUAUGCAUCUCAACUCCAUUCUCCUGCCCUCUCCCAUAAUCUUUGAUCCCCUUCGUAAAUUAACAAUUUGUCUUAAAUACACUCAGCCUUCUGUGGCAAUGAGUUCCAGAGAAUCAAUAGUAUUGUCACUCAUUACUGUAAGUAGAGAAAACAGGUAAUCUUGGAGGUCUAAUUGGGAUUGUAUGCAUCUUCUGAAAGCUUGUAGAAAAGCAAAGCAUGUUUUUGGUGCAUUCUUCACAGUUAAAUUAUGACACAGUCAAAUCUAGUAAUUUUAAGCAAGCUCAUUAACUUACAAUUUCAAGUCAUGUUCAUCAUCGUCUUGCUAUGAAAUGAUAACUUGGGAACAAAAGUUUGAUUUUGUUUUUAUCUGCACACAGUUUGGAUUGCGGUUUGCACUUGAGAUACACUGAGGCAGUCUGGAACACUGAAAAAUUGUCAAAUGAUCUGGUGUCAUAGAUUUUAAAAUAUGUUUGAUUUGGAAUCACACUCCAAGGUAAAUGCAUAAUGCAUCCAAGGAACAUCUCCUCUAAUUGCAUCCCAAUAGAACAACCUGAUCAACCUUUCAGGAACCAUCUUAAGCUCGGAUCAACUUAUGUGGGGAAGGUUUAUGGUAAUAAAAUAUCAUCUACUUGUAAAAUUUCAGCUAAAUACUGAAACUAGAAGCUAUAAAAUAAAACUUUUCUUGAUAGA